AACGAACGCUGGCGGCAUGCCUAACACAUGCCAGUCGAACGAGACCUUCGGGUCUAGUGGCGCACGGGUGCGUAACGCGUGGGAACCUGCCCUUAGGUUCGGAAUAACUCCCCGAAAGGGGUGCUAAUACCGGAUAAUGUCUUCGGACCAAAGAUUUAUCGCCUUUGGAUGGGCCCGCGUUGGAUUAGCUAGUUGGUAGGGUAAAAGCCUACCGAGGCGACGAUCCGUAGCUGGUCUGAGAGGAUGAUCAGCCACACUGGGACUGAGACACGGCCCAGACUCCUACGGGAGGCAGCAGUGGGGAAUAUUGGACAAUGGGCGAAAGCCUGAUCCAGCAAUGCCGCGUGAGUGAUGAAGGCCUUAGGGUUGUAAAGCUCUUUUACCCGGGAUGAUAAUGACAGUACCGGGAGAAUAAGCUCCGGCUAACUCCGUG
rnacentral:rRNA from 1 species